UUCCGGUUGAUCCUGCCGGAGGUCACUGCUAUUGGGAUUCGACUAAGCCAUGCGAGUCGAGAGGGUUCGGCCCUCGGCAGACGGCUCAGUAACACGUGGAUAAUCUGCCCUUAGGUGGAGGAUAACCUCGGGAAACUGAGAAUAAUACUCCAUAGAUCUAGGAUGCUGGAAUGCAUCUAGGUUGAAAGUUCCGGCGCCUAAGGAUGAGUCUGCGGACUAUCAGGCUGUAGUCAGGGUAAAGACCUGACUAACCUACGACGGAUACGGGUUGUGAGAGCAAUAACCCGGAGACGAUAUCUGAGACACGAUAUCGGGCCCUACGGGGCGCAGCAGGCGCGAAACCUUCACACUGUGCGAAAGCGCGAUGAGGGGAUCCCAAGUGCUUGCACGUAAGUGUAAGCUGUUUCUGUGUCUAAAAAGCAUAGAGAGUAAGGGCUGGGUAAGACGGGUGCCAGCCGCCGCGGUAAUACCUGCAGCUCAAGUGGUGACCGCUAUUAUUGGGCCUAAAACGUCCGUAGCCGGUUUAGUAAAUGCCUGGGUAAAUCGUGUAGCUUAACUAUACGAAUUCCGGGUAGACUGCUAAACUUGAGACCGGGAGAGGCUAGAGGUACUUCUGGGGUAGAGGUGAAAUUCUGUAAUCCUAGGGGGACCACCAGUGGCGAAGGCGUCUAGCUAGAACGGGUCUGACGGUGAGGGACGAAGCCCUGGGGCGCAAACCGGAUUAGAUACCCGGGUAGUCCAGGGUGUAAACGCUGCUUGCUUGAUGUUAGUCGGGCUCUGAGCCCGAUUAGUGUCGGAGAGAAGUUGUUAAGCAAGCUGCCUGGGAAGUACGGUCGCAAGGCUGAAACUUAAAGGAAUUGGCGGGGGAGCACAGCAACGGGUGGAGCGUGCGGUUUAAUUGGACUCAACGCCGGU
rnacentral:rRNA from 1 species